GUGGGGAAUCUUGGACAAUGGGCGCAAGCCUGAUCCAGCCAUGCCGCGUGAGUGAUGAAGGCCCUAGGGUUGUAAAACUCUUUCGUGGGGGACGAUAAUGACGGUACCCCAAGAAGAAGCUCCGGCUAACUUCGUGCCAGCAGCCGCGGUAAUACGAAGGGGGCUAGCGUUGUUCGGAUUUACUGGGCGUAAAGCGCGUGUAGGCGGACUGGAAAGUUGGGGGUGAAAUCCCGAGGCUCAACCUCGGAACUGCCUCCAAAACUUCCAGUCUGGACUCAAGCAGAGGCAAGUGGAAUUGCGAGUGUAGAGGUGAAAUUCGUAGAUAUUCGCAGGAACACCAGUGGCGAAGGCGACUUGCUGGGCUUGUAGUGACGCUGAGACGCGAAAGCGUGGGGAGCAAACAGGAUUAGAAACCCCAGUAGUCC
rnacentral:rRNA from 1 species